CUCGCCCGCCACUCCUGCGGUGGCCUCUGGCUCCUCUGCGGCCAUAGCAGCCAAGCCUGGCAUGUAGAAGGAGGUCCUGGGGACUGAUACAGAAAGCAGCGAGGUGAGGGAGGCCUCCCGGACGUUAUUUGCAGGUGUCGCUUGAUGGAGAAGGCAGUCUGGAGUGGUUUGGGGCUUCUCCCCAGCCCCGACACAGUUUUAAAGGAAAGAUCCUGGCCAGUGCUGUCAGGGAAGGGGCAUUUUUGCCCACAUGUUGGGUUGUUUGGUCCUCCAGCGGCCUGCCUUGACUUGACUUGAACUUCCCAGAUAGAUGCAUCAUCUCCUUGUCUGUUUCUCUGUGCAAGGCCAUCACUACUUUUCUUUGUGCCAUCUAUCAUUACCUUCUGGCUAAGUAAAGCUGAGUGCUUUUCUUAAAGAGAGAAGUUGGACCAGGGAUGGUGAAAAGACUAAAGAUUGGGAGUCUGAAAUGGAUUGUUUGAGAAGAGAAUAAAGCGGAGAGUCGUAAACUUCCCACAUAGACCCACCCUCUCCUUGUCUGUCUUUCUACGCAAAGAUGGACCGGAUCCUGGACGAAUUUAGCAGUUGGUCUUGUGUAAAGCCGUGAUCCCCUCUCCAACGCAAGUCACCCUCUGCCCAGAAGAAACCAAGGAAGCUGCAGCGACUACGCCCUCAGUGGGUCACUCCUAUGCUUCUCUUUGCCCAGAAAGGCUGAGCAAGCCCAAGAACUCAACCCCUCAAGUUGCCUUCUAACUCAAAACCUCAAAAUGCUUUUCCUAUUAGGGAGGAGAUUGUGAAUGAAGUCUGAACCAAGGGCUUUCCUGAUUCAAAUACUGAGAAAGAAAAAUAGUACACAAAAUACUGCCCUGAUAGGAAGAGUGUUUGAUGAUUUUCAGUGCUAACGUGAGAAAGGAUGAAGAAGACAAAUUCUGUGUGUGUGUCUGAAAGGAACUUACAACGGUUCUAGAGGUUUCCUUAAGGUGUCUAAUUUUAGCUGGUAAUUUUCUUUUCUCUGUCACCACCCUCAUUACUUUUCUUUUGUUCUGGUAUUGGGAAUUGAACCCAGGGGUGCUCUACCACUGAGUUACACACCCAGCCCUUUAUAUAUAUAUAUAUAUAUAUAUAUAUAUAUAUAUAUAUAUAUAUAAUUUUUUUUUAUUUUGAGGCAGGGUCUCACUAAAUUACCCAUGCUGGCCUCCCAUCACGAUCCUCCUGCCUCAGCCUCCUGUGUAGUUGGGAUUACAGACAUGCCCCACUUAUUUUCCUUCCUUCCUUCCUUCCUUCCUUCCUUCUUUCUUUUCUUUUUCUUUUUUUGAGACAGGUUCUUGCUAAGUUGCUGAGGUUGGCCUUGAGCUGCAAUCCUCUUGCUUCAGCCUCCCAAGUCACUGGGAUUACAGGUGUGCUCCUCCAUGCCCGACUCCAUCAGUACUUUAUUUGUGUCAUUAAUCAUUAGCUUUUGACUGAGUAAAACCGAGUCAUUUUCAUAAAGAGAAAAGUUAGCCAGGGAUGGCCAAAAAAAAAAAAAAAAGAUGAUUGUGUUUCUGAAAAAGAUUGAGAGAAGAAGGGGGAGUUUAGCUGUUUGGGUCUCCUCACCUGGAUUCAGUACGCAACACUCUGCAUUCAGCUCACUGAAAUUUUUUAGUCAUUCUUGCCAGUAACUCACACUGAAAUUUUUUAGUCAUUCUUGCCAGUAACUUCCAUCUCCCCCAAUUUAAGGACAAUUUACAAACCUUUUCUUGCCUAAAAUUGCAGAAAUAGUUCAAACAUUUGUCUUCAUGUCAAAAGCAGACUCCCAGGUCUAAUUUUUUACUUCUUGUAUAAAUAAUUAUCACUUCUUUUACUGCCCCACAGUCAGUAGUCACAGGUCUCUCUCCAAAAUCUUGCUCCAGUCUGCCCAGCCAGCUGGCCACCGCAAUCUCAGCUCCUCUCCUGAUGGGUCUUCCUCAAUGCAGUCUUGCUCCGUGCCCAUCCAUUCUCCACAUUGCAGCCGAAAUAGCCUUUCUAAAUGGCAAACUUUAGCAUGCUGCUCCCCCAUUUAAAAUCUUUUGUGGUUUUUCAUUCCCUGAUUAUUUAUAAAUUAUAAACACGUGCUACUGUAUUACUCAAUCCUGUGCAUUGUAAAGAAUACAUAAGCUGCAAAUUUAAGAAAAUGAAAUAAAAAUAUAAAUGAUAGUUCUAACAUUUUCUUCCCAUAAUCCCAGCAGAGGUUAUCCACUCUGGAAAUGACUUGUCUAUAUAAUGCCAACCUCCAUAACACAGGAUAUAGGGGUUUCCUCGUUCUAAACUGAGGAUAUUCAUUUGCAUCCUUAUCUUAUCUCUUUAUUUUAUCCUUAAUAAUUCCCUUUAUUUCUUCAUAAUAAUAAGCAUAAUAAUCAUAAUCAUUCAUAAUAAUCAUUCCUUGUUUCAAGUUUAUUUUUGCUCUGCAUUCUCACUGGUCUGGAAGCUCCAUUAAAAAAUGAUCUGAUGCAUGAGCAAGGAGUAGUGGCUCACGACUAUAAUCCCAGCUGCUGAAGAGGCUGAGGCAGGAGGAUAAUGAGUUCAGAUCCAACCUCAGUAAAAGCAAGGUGCUAAGCAACUCAAUGAGACCCAGUUUCUAAAUAUAAUAAAGAAUAGGACUGGGGAUGUGGCUCAGUGGUCGAGUGCCCCUGAGUUCAAUUCCUGCACCCCUCCCACAAAUGAUCUGUUUCAAUCAUUGAUAUGCCACUAGUUGUUAUUAUAGUUUCCAGCACAAAAUAGGCACUCAAUAAAUGUGUGCUGCACAAGUGAAUUUAGUACUUCUAUUUUCUAUACACAUACUGGAAAGCAUAGAAAGCUUUCCAUAGAAAAUAAAAAGAAUGAAGAUGUACAAGGUAACAGAAAGAAGCACAGAAUAGAUGAAGAGAACAUCUGGACACCCUUCCAGGUCAUGGUGUGUUAACUGGGAAACAAUUUUGACUUCUGCAUAAUAAAAGUAAUAUAUAGGUAGAUAGGUAUAAAUAUUGAUAUUGAUAUAAAUGAUAGGAUAUUACACACAACUGAAUAGAUACUUGAGGCUUGGCAUGGGGUCUAAAUGAUGUCGGACACUCAGGUUCCUUCUAUGUAAUUAUUCUGUCCUCAACAUGUAGCUUUUCAACUCAUAGCUCAAAAUGGCUGUUCCUACUCCUCCCAUUGCCUCAGCAUUCCAACAAGGGAAAAGAGGGAAAGUGACAACAUAGGACAUGUAUUUCUUUUUCAAAAACAGAGUCUCAAUGAUGAGCCUUACUUCUGUUUACUACCCAUUAGUUGGAAAUUAGUUUCACGGCCACAUAGAGAUGCAAGGUAAGUUAGGAAAUUUUUUGUUUUGUUUUGUUUUGUUUUGUUUUUUGGGUGGCCCUGUGCAGAGCUAAAAUUCUGGGUUUCUGUUACUAAAUGAAGAAGAGGAUGGAUAUCAUCAGAGAAUUACUUGUUCGUGCAGCAUGGGCACUGCUGCCUUCUCAAAGCCUUACUACAUUUCUGCCCUUGUAGGUCUGUGUACCCCAUGCCUCAAGCCCCAUUUGAUGUUUGAAUUAGUUCAAGUUGUUAAACCAGUGCACAUAGGUAUCGAGGGGUGUGCAGCGACCAAGGUGCCACAGCACAGGUGUAUCAGACAGGCCAGGUGAUACCAUGGCAGCCACCCUCAAAGCCUGGUGGCUUCACACAACCAGUCUGUCUCUAGCCUUUGCCUGUUCUCUGAUGGUUUGCAGAGAGACUCUGAUCAUCACAGUCCCUUGAGGUCCCUAUUGACAGGCACCUGUGUCAAGCUUUUGGACAGCCAUUGUAGGAGAAGCAAGAGCAUACUAUGUACUGGCUUCCAGAAGCCCCAUGGGGCAAGUCACAUGUAGGGAAGGACAAGCUCUCAUCCAUCUAAAAGGAGGACUGGAGUGCCAGUGCCCACCGCUACCCCACCCAGCUCUCUAGAAGCUUUUCCUGUUAGCUUCUAGUCACUACUAGUAACUUUGUGAAGCAUGCAAAGGGUGCACUGUGAGCCCCUGCCCCUUCUCUUCUCUGCUCAAACCUGUCAGGCUGAAGAGACAAAAUGCCCCUGAUGCACUGGGGACACCUAAAGUCAACAACAACACAAACUAUCCCUCGUACCUUUCUAAAUCAAGGUAGGGAGAUCUCAAAUCCAUGCAGCUUUGGCUCUAGUGAAGACACCCUGUUUUGCUGCAUGUAUCCCUAAGCUCCACCAUGGAUUUUUACAGUGGGUUUGUGUUCCAGUCUGGCAAGCACCAAGCUUCUGGAAAAAAAAAAAAGACACCAAGGAUCAAGGGCAUGUGAGAACACAGAUAUUUUGCCAUGAGAGCAACAGGUUUCCAAGUCUGGCAAAGGCUAAAUAAAAGUGAGAUUCAAGGGACAUGAGAAAAAUCCCUGGCUGCCCCCCACCUACCAACAAAUGCUUUCAAAUGAAUGCAGGAGGACCACAAUGGCUCCCUUAAACAAAUUCAUUCCUGUGAUUUAUGGCAUUACCUUUCAAGGGUACUAACCAAGUGCCAGAGAGAGAGAGAGAGAGAGAGAGUUUGGUUGCUGUGUUUUGCUCGUACCUUAGUGGAGCAGAUGUGUCCUUUUAUGGCCUCUGGCUGGGAUCAAUGGCCCUGAAAUAAUCAGCUUUUAAAGAGGGCAAAAAGGAUAAUUUGGAGCACGGGGUAUUCUUUGAAGACAUGGGUCUUGGUGGGGUAUCCAUGUGGUCAUCAUGAGGCCACUCCUUGCCCGAGGUGGGGAUGGAGGUACAGAAAGACUUCUUGAAAGGCACUGAUCCUGGGUGUCACUUGAAUUGGAGAGCGUAAUGUCCAAGGGCUACUGCACACUUCUGGGCUUUGGAAAAGAUGUUUAGUUUCACAUUUUUCUCUCUCCUCUGAGGUCAUGUUCCCCCAGCACUAACUCAGCUCGAUGUCAUCCCCCUCCCCCUCUUCUGGUGCUGGACAUUGAACCCAGGGCCUCACACGUGCUAAUCACAUGAUAGACCACUAAGCUACACCAUCAGCUCCACAUCACCCCUUUACAGGCAGAGUCUCAACUACACCUCUUACUACACUGGAGUAGAAUUAACUGCUCCUCUCACCUCCUACCCCAGGGAUGUGUUCAGGGAUGGCAACUACAUUGUAUUCAUCUCUGUAUCCCUCACCUUUAACAUAGUAUCUUGGAUGUAGUUGGUGCUUAAAACAUUUCUUAAAGGGAUCAGUCAAUGAAUUAAGGCUUAAAUCUGG
rnacentral:lncRNA from 1 species